GGGGCUGUGGCUCAGUAGUUAGAGCGCUCGCCUAGCAUGUGCGAGGCCCUGGGUUCAAUCCUCAGCACCA
rnacentral:tRNA from 1 species